AUUGAACGCUGGCGGCAUGCCUUACACAUGCAAGUCGAGCGGCAGCGCGGGGGCAACCCUGGCGGCGAGCGGCGAACGGGUGAGUAAUGCAUCGGAACGUGUCCUCUUGUGGGGGAUAACCAGUCGAAAGACUGGCUAAUACCGCAUGAGCUCGUAAGAGGAAAGCAGGGGACCCGCAAGGGCCUUGCGCGAGAGGAGCGGCCGAUGCCCGAUUAGCUAGUUGGNGGGGUAAAAGCCUACCAAGGCGACGAUCGGUAGCUGGUCUGAGAGGACGACCAGCCACACUGGGACUGAGACACGGCCCAGACUCCUACGGGAGGCAGCAGUGGGGAAUUUUGGACAAUGGGGGCAACCCUGAUCCAGCCAUGCCGCGUGUGUGAAGAAGGCCU
rnacentral:rRNA from 1 species